rnacentral:rRNA from 1 species
UACAGAGGGUGCGAGCGUUAAUCGGAAUUACUGGGCGUAAAGCGUGCGCAGACGGUCAUGUAAGUCGGGUGUGAAAGCUCCGGGCUCAACCUGGGAAUUGCAUUCGAGACUGUGUGGCUAGGGUGCGGAAGAGGGAAGCGGAAUUUCCGGUGUAGCGGUGAAAUGCGUAGAUAUCGGAAGGAACACCAGUGGCGAAAGCGGCUUCCUGGUCCAGCACCGACGUUCAGGCACGAAAGCGUGGGGAGCAAACAGG